CAAUGCAAAUACACUUGGAGAUGAGCCUUCAAGAUAAAUGAAAGAAAGAGUCAAAAAAGCACAAAGAGCGGGAGGACUGAGAUCUUGUCAUGAAGCGGAGCAAAGGAGUGGAGCAUGAUGGACUGCAGAGAUAGGCUGUAAAACUAAGCUUGACUGCGUAUCCGGGUGUUUUCUUGAGCGACGCAUUGUUCAUUGAAAGUGAAAUGCUGAUUAUAAUUGAGAGAACCACACAGGAGCACGUUGAAAUAGCUCAUUUGGAGCCUGUGUCAUCGCUUACGGCCAUACCACCCUGAACACGCCCGAUCUCGUCCGAUCUCGGAAGCUAAGCAGGGUCGGGCCUGGUUAGUACUUGGAUGGGAGACCGCCUGGGAAUACCAGGUGCUGUAAGCUUUUCUUUUCUUGUAUCUUGUGCCGUGUUCUCUCUCCAAGAGGCUAGGAUAUGGGUCUUUGGGGAGCCUGGUCUUUAGCUUGGACCAAUGCAAAUACACUUGGAGAUGAGCCUUCAAGAUAAAUGAAAGAAAGAGUCAAAAAGCACAAAGAGCGGGAGGACUGAGAUCUUGUCAUGAAGCGGAGCAAAGGAGUGGAGCAUGAUGGACUGCAGAGAUAGGCUGUAAAACUAAGCUUGACUGCGUAUCCGGGUGUUUUCUUGAGCGACGCAUUGUUCAUUGAAAGUGAAAUGCUGAUUAUAAUUGAGAGAACCACACAGGAGCACGUUGAAAUAGCUCAUUUGGAGCCUGUGUCAUCGCUUACGGCCAUACCACCCUGAACACGCCCGAUCUCGUCCGAUCUCGGAAGCUAAGCAGGGUCGGGCCUGGUUAGUACUUGGAUGGGAGACCGCCUGGGAAUACCAGGUGCUGUAAGCUUUUCUUUUCUUGUAUCUUGUGCCGUGUUCUCUCUCCAAGAGGCUAGGAUAUGGGUCUUUGGGGAGCCUGGUCUUUAGCUUGGACCAAUGCAAAUACACUUGGAGAUGAGCCUUCAAGAUAAAUGAAAGAAAAAGUCAAAAAAGCACAAAGAGCGGGAGGACUGAGAUCUUGUCAUGAAGCGGAGCAAAGGAGUGGAGCAUGAUGGACUGCAGAGAUAGGCUGUAAAACUAAGCUUGACUGCGUAUCCGGGUGUUUUCUUGAGCGACGCAUUGUUCAUUGAAAGUGAAAUGCUGAUUAUAAUUGAGAGAACCACACAGGAGCACGUUCAAAUAGCUCAUUUGGAGCCUGUGUCAUCGCUUACGGCCAUACCACCCUGAACACGCCCGAUCUCGUCCGAUCUCGGAAGCUAAGCAGGGUCGGGCCUGGUUAGUACUUGGAUGGGAGACCGCCUGGGAAUACCAGGUGCUGUAAGCUUUUCUUUUCUUGUAUCUUGUGCCGUGUUCUCUCUCCAAGAGGCUAGGAUAUGGGUCUUUGGGGAGCCUGGUCUUUAGCUUGGACCAAUGCAAAUACACUUGGAGAUGAGCCUUCAAGAUAAAUGAAAGAAAGAGUCAAAAAAGCACAAAGAGCGGGAGGACUGAGAUCUUGUCAUGAAGCGGAGCAAAGGAGUGGAGCAUGAUGGACUGCAGAGAUAGGCUGUAAAACUAAGCUUGACUGCGUAUCCGGGUGUUUUCUUGAGCGACGCAUUGUUCAUUGAAAGUGAAAUGCUGAUUAUAAUUGAGAGAACCACACAGGAGCACGUUCAAAUAGCUCAUUUGGAGCCUGUGUCAUCGCUUACGGCCAUACCACCCUGAACACGCCCGAUCUCGUCCGAUCUCGGAAGCUAAGCAGGGUCGGGCCUGGUUAGUACUUGGAUGGGAGACCGCCUGGGAAUACCAGGUGCUGUAAGCUUUUCUUUUCUUGUAUCUUGUGCCGUGUUCUCUCUCCAAGAGGCUAGGAUAUGGGUCUUUGGGGAGCCUGGUCUUUAGCUUGGACCAAUGCAAAUACACUUGGAGAUGAGCCUUCAAGAUAAAUGAAAGAAAGAGUCAAAAAAGCACAAAGAGCGGGAGGACUGAGAUCUUGUCAUGAAGCGGAGCAAAGGAGUGGAGCAUGAUGGACUGCAGAGAUAGGCUGUAAAACUAAGCUUGACUGCGUAUCCGGGUGUUUUCUUGAGCGACGCAUUGUUCAUUGAAAGUGAAAUGCUGAUUAUAAUUGAGAGAACCACACAGGAGCACGUUGAAAUAGCUCAUUUGGAGCCUGUGUCAUCGCUUACGGCCAUACCACCCUGAACACGCCCGAUCUCGUCCGAUCUCGGAAGCUAAGCAGGGUCGGGCCUGGUUAGUACUUGGAUGGGAGACCGCCUGGGAAUACCAGGUGCUGUAAGCUUUUCUUUUCUUGUAUCUUGUGCCGUGUUCUCUCUCCAAGAGGCUAGGAUAUGGGUCUUUGGGGAGCCUGGUCUUUAGCUUGGACCAAUGCAAAUACACUUGGAGAUGAGCCUUCAAGAUAAAUGAAAGAAAGAGUCAAAAAAGCACAAAGAGCGGGAGGACUGAGAUCUUGUCAUGAAGCGGAGCAAAGGAGUGGAGCAUGAUGGACUGCAGAGAUAGGCUGUAAAACUAAGCUUGACUGCGUAUCCGGGUGUUUUCUUGAGCGACGCAUUGUUCAUUGAAAGUGAAAUGCUGAUUAUAAUUGAGAGAACCACACAGGAGCACGUUGAAAUAGCUCAUUUGGAGCCUGUGUCAUCGCUUACGGCCAUACCACCCUGAACACGCCCGAUCUCGUCCGAUCUCGGAAGCUAAGCAGGGUCGGGCCUGGUUAGUACUUGGAUGGGAGACCGCCUGGGAAUACCAGGUGCUGUAAGCUUUUCUUUUCUUGUAUCUUGUGCCGUGUUCUCUCUCCAAGAGGCUAGGAUAUGGGUCUUUGGGGAGCCUGGUCUUUAGCUUGGACCAAUGCAAAUACACUUGGAGAUGAGCCUUCAAGAUAAAUGAAAGAAAGAGUCAAAAAAGCACAAAGAGCGGGAGGACUGAGAUCUUGUCAUGAAGCGGAGCAAAGGAGUGGAGCAUGAUGGACUGCAGAGAUAGGCUGUAAAACUAAGCUUGACUGCGUAUCCGGGUGUUUUCUUGAGCGACGCAUUGUUCAUUGAAAGUGAAAUGCUGAUUAUAAUUGAGAGAACCACACAGGAGCACGUUCAAAUAGCUCAUUUGGAGCCUGUGUCAUCGCUUACGGCCAUACCACCCUGAACACGCCCGAUCUCGUCCGAUCUCGGAAGCUAAGCAGGGUCGGGCCUGGUUAGUACUUGGAUGGGAGACCGCCUGGGAAUACCAGGUGCUGUAAGCUUUUCUUUUCUUGUAUCUUGUGCCGUGUUCUCUCUCCAAGAGGCUAGGAUAUGGGUCUUUGGGGAGCCUGGUCUUUAGCUUGGACCAAUGCAAAUACACUUGGAGAUGAGCCUUCAAGAUAAAUGAAAGAAAGAGUCAAAAAAGCACAAAGAGCGGGAGGACUGAGAUCUUGUCAUGAAGCGGAGCAAAGGAGUGGAGCAUGAUGGACUGCAGAGAUAGGCUGUAAAACUAAGCUUGACUGCGUAUCCGGGUGUUUUCUUGAGCGACGCAUUGUUCAUUGAAAGUGAAAUGCUGAUUAUAAUUGAGAGAACCACACAGGAGCACGUUGAAAUAGCUCAUUUGGAGCCUGUGUCAUCGCUUACGGCCAUACCACCCUGAACACGCCCGAUCUCGUCCGAUCUCGGAAGCUAAGCAGGGUCGGGCCUGGUUAGUACUUGGAUGGGAGACCGCCUGGGAAUACCAGGUGCUGUAAGCUUUUCUUUUCUUGUAUCUUGUGCCGUGUUCUCUCUCCAAGAGGCUAGGAUAUGGGUCUUUGGGGAGCCUGGUCUUUAGCUUGGACCAAUGCAAAUACACUUGGAGAUGAGCCUUCAAGAUAAAUGAAAGAAAAAGUCAAAAAAGCACAAAGAGCGGGAGGACUGAGAUCUUGUCAUGAAGCGGAGCAAAGGAGUGGAGCAUGAUGGACUGCAGAGAUAGGCUGUAAAACUAAGCUUGACUGCGUAUCCGGGUGUUUUCUUGAGCGACGCAUUGUUCAUUGAAAGUGAAAUGCUGAUUAUAAUUGAGAGAACCACACAGGAGCACGUUCAAAUAGCUCAUUUGGAGCCUGUGUCAUCGCUUACGGCCAUACCACCCUGAACACGCCCGAUCUCGUCCGAUCUCGGAAGCUAAGCAGGGUCGGGCCUGGUUAGUACUUGGAUGGGAGACCGCCUGGGAAUACCAGGUGCUGUAAGCUUUUCUUUUCUUGUAUCUUGUGCCGUGUUCUCUCUCCAAGAGGCUAGGAUAUGGGUCUUUGGGGAGCCUGGUCUUUAGCUUGGACCAAUGCAAAUACACUUGGAGAUGAGCCUUCAAGAUAAAUGAAAGAAAGAGUCAAAAAAGCACAAAGAGCGGGAGGACUGAGAUCUUGUCAUGAAGCGGAGCAAAGGAGUGGAGCAUGAUGGACUGCAGAGAUAGGCUGUAAAACUAAGCUUGACUGCGUAUCCGGGUGUUUUCUUGAGCGACGCAUUGUUCAUUGAAAGUGAAAUGCUGAUUGUAAUUGAGAGAACCACACAGGAGCACGUUGAAAUAGCUCAUUUGGAGCCUGUGUCAUCGCUUACGGCCAUACCACCCUGAACACGCCCGAUCUCGUCCGAUCUCGGAAGCUAAGCAGGGUCGGGCCUGGUUAGUACUUGGAUGGGAGACCGCCUGGGAAUACCAGGUGCUGUAAGCUUUUCUUUUCUUGUAUCUUGUGCCGUGUUCUCUCUCCAAGAGGCUAGGAUAUGGGUCUUUGGGGAGCCUGGUCUUUAGCUUGGACCAAUGCAAAUACACUUGGAGAUGAGCCUUCAAGAUAAAUGAAAGAAAGAGUCAAAAAAGCACAAAGAGCGGGAGGACUGAGAUCUUGUCAUGAAGCGGAGCAAAGGAGUGGAGCAUGAUGGACUGCAGAGAUAGGCUGUAAAACUAAGCUUGACUGCGUAUCCGGGUGUUUUCUUGAGCGACGCAUUGUUCAUUGAAAGUGAAAUGCUGAUUAUAAUUGAGAGAACCACACAGGAGCACGUUCAAAUAGCUCAUUUGGAGCCUGUGUCAUCGCUUACGGCCAUACCACCCUGAACACGCCCGAUCUCGUCCGAUCUCGGAAGCUAAGCAGGGUCGGGCCUGGUUAGUACUUGGAUGGGAGACCGCCUGGGAAUACCAGGUGCUGUAAGCUUUUCUUUUCUUGUAUCUUGUGCCGUGUUCUCUCUCCAAGAGGCUAGGAUAUGGGUCUUUGGGGAGCCUGGUCUUUAGCUUGGACCAAUGCAAAUACACUUGGAGAUGAGCCUUCAAGAUAAAUGAAAGAAAAGUCAAAAAAGCACAAAGAGCGGGAGGACUGAGAUCUUGUCAUGAAGCGGAGCAAAGGAGUGGAGCAUGAUGGACUGCAGAGAUAGGCUGUAAAACUAAGCUUGACUGCGUAUCCGGGUGUUUUCUUGAGCGACGCAUUGUUCAUUGAAAGUGAAAUGCUGAUUAUAAUUGAGAGAACCACACAGGAGCACGUUCAAAUAGCUCAUUUGGAGCCUGUGUCAUCGCUUACGGCCAUACCACCCUGAACACGCCCGAUCUCGUCCGAUCUCGGAAGCUAAGCAGGGUCGGGCCUGGUUAGUACUUGGAUGGGAGACCGCCUGGGAAUACCAGGUGCUGUAAGCUUUUCUUUUCUUGUAUCUUGUGCCGUGUUCUCUCUCCAAGAGGCUAGGAUAUGGGUCUUUGGGGAGCCUGGUCUUUAGCUUGGACCAAUGCAAAUACACUUGGAGAUGAGCCUUCAAGAUAAAUGAAAGAAAGAGUCAAAAAAGCACAAAGAGCGGGAGGACUGAGAUCUUGUCAUGAAGCGGAGCAAAGGAGUGGAGCAUGAUGGACUGCAGAGAUAGGCUGUAAAACUAAGCUUGACUGCGUAUCCGGGUGUUUUCUUGAGCGACGCAUUGUUCAUUGAAAGUGAAAUGCUGAUUAUAAUUGAGAGAACCACACAGGAGCACGUUCAAAUAGCUCAUUUGGA